AAUAAACGCUGGCGGCGUGCCUAACACAUGCAAGUCGAGCGAGAAAGUCCCUUCGGGGGCGAGUACAGCGGCGAACGGUUGAGUAACACGUGAGAAUCUGCCCUUUAGUGAAGAAUACCCUCGAGAAAUCGAGGUUAAUACUGCAUACGUCCCUUCGGGGAGAAAGGUGGCCUAAUUGCUACCGCUAAAGGAGGAGCUUGCGGCCUAUCAGCUAGUUGGCGGGGUAAAGGCCCACCAAGGCGAUGACGGGUAGCCGGCCUGAGAGGGUGUUCGGCCAGAUUGGAACUGAGAUACGGUCCAGACUCCUACGGGAGGCUG
rnacentral:rRNA from 1 species